rnacentral:rRNA from 1 species
GACGAACGCUGGCGGCGUGCUUAACACAUGCAAGUCGUACGGUAAGGCCCUUUCGGGGGUACACGAGUGGCGAACGGGUGAGUAACACGUGCGUAACCUGCCCACAACUUUGGGAUAACGCUAGGAAACUGGUGCUAAUACUGGAUAUGUGCUCCUGCUGCAUGGUGGGGGUUGGAAAGCUCCGGCGGUUGUGGAUGGACUCGCGGCCUAUCAGCUUGUUGGUGGGGUAGUGGCCUACCAAGGCGGCGACGGGUAGCCGGCCUGAGAGGGUGACCGGCCACAUUGGGACUGAGAUACGGCCCAGACUCCUACGGGAGGCAGCAGUGGGGAAUAUUGCACAAGGGGCGCAAGCCGGAUGCAGCAACGCCGCGUGCGGGAUGACGGCCUUCGGGUUGUAAACCGCUUUCAGCAGGGACGAAGCUUUUUGUGACGGUACCUGCAGAAGAAGCACCGGCUAACUACGUG